CAGUCGCCACGGUAAUACAGAGGGUGCGAGCGUUAAUCGGAUUUACUGGGCGUAAAGCGUGCGUAGGCGGCUUCUUAAGUCGGAUGUGAAAUCCCUGAGCUUAACUUAGGAAUUGCAUUCGAUACUGGGAAGCUAGAGUAUGGGAGAGGAUGGUAGAAUUCCAGGUGUAGCGGUGAAAUGCGUAGAGAUCUGGAGGAAUACCGAUGGCGAAGGCAGCCAUCUGGCCUAAUACUGACGCUGAGGUACGAAAGCAUGGGGAGCAAACAGGAUUAGAUACCCCGGUAGUCCCUGUCUCUUAUAC
rnacentral:rRNA from 1 species